rnacentral:rRNA from 1 species
CGUAGGUGGUAGUGCAAGUCUGGGGUGGAAUCUUAGGGCUUAACCCUAAAAUUGCCUUGGAAACUGUAUUACUUGAGUCAGUGAGGGGAGGGUAGAAUUCCCGGUGUAGCGGUGAAAUGCGUAGAUAUCGGGAGGAAGGCCUGUGGCGAAGGCGGCCCUCUGGCGCUGAACUGACACUGAGGCGCGAAAGCGUGGGUAGCAAACAGGAUUAGAUACCCUGGUAGUCCACGCCCUAAACGGUGGGUACUAGGUGUAGGGCUCGUAAGGGUUCUGUGCCGAAGCGAAAGCAUUAAGUACCCCGCCUGGGGAGUACGGCCGCAAGGUUGAA